CAAAUACUCCCUUCGUCCAGAAAUACUUGUCAUCAAAAUGGAUAAAAGGAAAUAUAUCUAGACAUAUUUUAGUUUUAGAUGCAUCUCUUUUUAUCCAUUUUGAGGACAAGUAUUUUCGGACGGAGGGAGUAUUUA
rnacentral:pre_miRNA from 1 species